CCGUACUUAGAUGGAUAGUGAUAGUUAAUUUUUAGCUAUUUCAGAUUUUAAGUAUGAUGUUGUGUUUGCAUAUUGGUCUAGGAAACUAGACUUCGAGUAACCCAAGUCAAACGUAAGUUACUCAUUUCACUUCCUGUAUUUUUAACCGUUUUGGUUUAUAAGCCCCCAAUUUGGGGGCUUUUUUUAU
rnacentral:other from 1 species